rnacentral:rRNA from 1 species
UACGGGGGGGGUAAGCGUUGUUCGGAAUUACUGGGCGUAAAGGGCUCGUAGGCGGCCAACUAAGUCAUACGUGAAAUCCCUCAGCUUAACUGGGGAACUGCGUGUGAUACUGGCGACCUUGAGGCCGGAAGAGGUUAGUGGAAUUCCCAGUGUAGAGGUGAAAUUCGUAGAUAUUGGGAAGAACACCAGUGGCGAAGGCGGCUAACUGGUCCGGAUCUGACGCUGAGGUGCGAAAGCGUGGGGAGCAAACAGG